rnacentral:rRNA from 1 species
GUAGCGGCGAGCGAACGCGGAUUAGCCCAAACCAAUAAAGUUUUCUUUAUUGGGGUUGCGGACAUAUCAUAACGAAGAGGUAUCGUAAUUGAAGAGGUUUGGAAAGACCCACCACAGAAGGUAAUAGUCCUGUAUGUUAAACGAGAAGACUUCAGAUAUGAUCCAGAGUACCACGGGACACGUGAAACCCUGUGGGAAGCAGGAGGGACCACCCUCCAAGGCUAAAUACUACCUAGUGACCGAUAGCGUAUAGUACCGUGAGGGAAAGGUGAAAAGAACCCCGGGAGGGGAGUGAAAUAGAACCUGAAACCCUGCACUUACAAGCUGUGGAAGCACAUUUCUUGUGUGACCGCGUACUUUUUGUAGAACGGGCCAACGAGUUACGUUAAGUAGCAAGGUUAAGCACUUAAGGUGUGGAGCCGUAGCGAAAGCGAGUUUUAACUGAGCGUUCAGUUACUUGACGUAGACCCGAAACCGGGCGACCUACCCAUGAGCAGGAUGAAGCGAAAGUAAAAUUUCGUGGAGGUCCGAACCCACGAGCGUUGAAAAGCUCGGGGAUGACUUGUGGGUAGCGGUGAAAUUCCAAUCGAGCCCGGAGAUAGCUGGUUCUCCCCGAAAUAGCUUUAGGGCUAGCCUCAAGGUGAGAGAUACGGAGGUAGAGCACUGAAUGUCCUAGGGGGUAUUGCACCUACCGAAG